GGGGGGGUGGCUCAGUGGUAAGAGCAUAGCGGACUUGCAUUUGGUUUCAUCCCUCAGAACCAGCGAAACGUAACCUAGAAUGCCGGUUCCUAAGGUCAUGGGUUCGAAUCCCAUCUCUCCUA